AACUCUGGUAUUGAUUGGUGCUUGCAUCAUGAUUUACAUUUGAGUGAGUGGCGAACUGGUGAGUAACACGUGGGAAACCUGCCCAGAAGCGGGGGAUAACACCUGGAAACAGAUGCUAAUACCGCAUAACAACUUGGACCGCAUGGUCCGAGUUUGAAAGAUGGCUUCGGCUAUCACUUUUGGAUGGUCCCGCGGCGUAUUAGCUAGAUGGUGGGGUAACGGCUCACCAUGGCAAUGAUACGUAGCCGACCUGAGAGGGUAAUCGGCCACAUUGGGACUGAGACACGGCCCAAACUCCUACGGGAGGCAGCAGUAGGGAAUCUUCCACAAUGGACGAAAGUCUGAUGGAGCAACGCCGCGUGAGUGAAGAAGGGUUUCGGCUCGUAAAACUCUGUUGUUAAAGAAGAACAUAUCUGAGAGUAACUGUUCAGGUAUUGACGGUAUUUAACCAGAAAGCCACGGCUAACUACGUGCCAGCAGCCGCGGUAAUACGUAGGUGGCAAGCGUUGUCCGGAUUUAUUGGGCGUAAAGCGAGCGCAGGCGGUUUUUUAAGUCUGAUGUGAAAGCCUUCGGCUCAACCGAAGAAGUGCAUCGGAAACUGGGAAACUUGAGUGCAGAAGAGGACAGUGGAACUCCAUGUGUAGCGGUGAAAUGCGUAGAUAUAUGGAAGAACACCAGUGGCGAAGGCGGCUGUCUGGUCUGUAACUGACGCUGAGGCUCGAAAGUAUGGGUAGCAAACAGGAUUAGAUACCCUGGUAGUCCAUACCGUAAACGAUGAAUGCUAAGUGUUGGAGGGUUUCCGCCCUUCAGUGCUGCAGCUAACGCAUUAAGCAUUCCGCCUGGGGAGUACGGCCGCAAGGCUGAAACUCAAAGGAAUUGACGGGGGCCCGCACAAGCGGUGGAGCAUGUGGUUUAAUUCGAAGCUACGCGAAGAACCUUACCAGGUCUUGACAUACUAUGCAAAUCUAAGAGAUUAGACGUUCCCUUCGGGGACAUGGAUACAGGUGGGUGCAUGGUUGUCGUCAGCUCGUGUCGUGAGAUGUUGGGUUAAGUCCCGCAACGAGCGCAACCCUUAUUAUCAGUUGCCAGCAUUAAGUUGGGCACUCUGGUGAGACUGCCGGUGACAAACCGGAGGAAGGUGGGGAUGACGUCAAAUCAUCAUGCCCCUUAUGACCUGGGCUACACACGUGCUACAAUGGAUGGUACAACGAGUUGCGAACUCGCGAGAGUAAGCUAAUCUCUUAAAGCCAUUCUCAGUUCGGAUUGUAGGCUGCAACUCGCCUACAUGAAGUCGGAAUCGCUAGUAAUCGCGGAUCAGCAUGCCGCGGUGAAUACGUUCCCGGGCCUUGUACACACCGCCCGUCACACCAUGAGAGUUUGUAACACCCAAAGUCGGUGGGGUAA
rnacentral:rRNA from 2 species